rnacentral:lncRNA from 1 species
ACACAUAAUAGCAAUAAUCACAUAACAUGCUAUCCUAAUAUCCACAUUAAUACAAAGAUGAAAUAAGUAGUAAGAAAAUCUAAAAUAAAAUAUAAAACAAUUCUAAGCAAAUAAUACAUAAAAGGAUUUAAAACGGAUGUUAUAAAAGCAAUCUAAAGUAUAUCAAAUAAUUUAAAAAAAAAGACUAGUAUCCAUUCAAGAUAAAAUAAUAUAUAAAAUUUGUAGGGUCCAAUUUUUGCCCGGGCCCAACAAAUAAAAUAAACCGAAAAAACAAAUAUCCAAUUUCAGCCUAUUAGAACCCAAACAUAGCCAUUAACCUAUUACAAUAAAACAAAGCCCAAAUUUAAAAAAAAACCCUAGCCCACAAAAUUUUUUCAGCAAAGAGGGAAAUCCUAGAUUUGCUGCCUCCCUUCAGCCACCAUGUGCCAACAUUCAACCGCCACUAUCCACGUUCUCCACCACCACGCACCACGCACCCACGCACCAUGUCCAAACCAUGUUCGCCAUACCUACAAAUGUGCACAAAAACAGUUGUAAAUGGCUAUAUAAAGCCACAAAUAUGUAAUGUUUUUUGGUUACGGAGAAUACAAAAUACACACAAAAAUCAAUUGCAAAGAAACAAGUGUAAAAGGAAACUUAAGAGGUGAUUUUCGAUUGAUCUUGUUUGUUGACCUUCUUAGUUAUUUUGGUGUGCAAAGAAUAAUCAAAAGAAGAAGAAAGUGAGAGCACUUACCAAACCUCCGUGGGCUUAGUCGGAGUUCUCCUCCGUUGGCGGAAUCAGCCAUCAUCUGCGCGCUGUCGGCAACCGUAUGGUGGUGGUCUGAUGGCUGCACAUUUUUAGUCUGAAACCCUAGCAGAAAGGGUUUAAAAACUUUGGAUUUUCUAAAAGGCUUUUUUAAUGUUUUAAAAAAAAGAAACAAAAUAAAGAUUUUAUUUAAUUUUAAAGCAAAAUUUGGGGGGGCAGAGAUAGCCCGCGUGUUGACCCUAUGGAUCCGCGCAUUUACCCCUUAAAUGAGUAAUUUGAGCGUUCAGUCCUUCACCUUCGCGCCAGCUUUAAAUUAUCCCCUAUUUGCAUUUUAUUUGUUUUUUAAAUUUACCCUGGAGUUUGCGCACCAUUCCAAUUUAGUCCGCGCCUAAGUGCUGUUUUUUGGGGUUGGAAACAUUUGCAUUUUUAGCCCUUGUACAUUCGCGUGCAUUGCAUUUUGGGUCUUAUGUCAGUUUCAAUGAUUUAUUUUAUUUAUUAAUUAUCUUUGUUAGUUUAAUUUUAUUUCAAUUAAGUUUUCUUUUCAUUUCAAUAUGUGUAAUUCAUUAUUUUUUUAAAAAAAAUUCAUUUAUUAUUCGUCUUUAAAAAUUUAUUUAAAUAUACAUUUGGAAUUACUUUAAUAAUUUUACUUUUUUUAUUUUUUUUUAUUUGUUUAAAUUCUAAAAUUAUUAUUUUAAAAUUCUCUUUUAUAUUAUAUUGUUUUAAAAUUUUGGAUAAUAUUUAUUUUAAAUUACCUUUAUAUUAUAUAUAUAUGUAUAUCUUAUGUUAAAAUUAGCUUUAUUCUAUGUACAUUAUCAAUUCCAUGUUGUUUUAUGUGUAUAUAUAUAUGUAUUUUUAUUUUGUUAACAAAAUCUAUUUUUGUAUAUAUAUUUCUUUUCAAAUCUAUAAUGUAUAUAGUUCUUUCCUUAAAAAAUAUUUUAUUGUAUAUCUUCAUUAUUUAAAAUCCUUUCAUAUAUAUUUUUUUUUACAUAUUUUUAAUUUUUUUUCCAUUAUAUGUAUGCCAUCAACUUUAAAUAGAUGUUUUGUUUUUAAAAUAUUGUGUACAUUAUUUACUCAAGACUUUUUUUUCCAUAAUAGCUAUUUGAAUAAUCAUUCAUAUAUUAGUAGUUUUUUACAUGUAAAUCAUUUCAAAAUCUAGCAUGUGUAGUUCAUUCGUAAAUUUUCAUAUGUUUGAUAGUUUAUAAAUUGUUUUAUAUUACAUUGACUCCUGAUUUUUAUAUUGUUUUGUAUGUUAUGUGUUGUUUUAGUUUUCAUAUUAUUUCACGUAUUAUUGUUUCAUAUUGUUUGUUAGUCUUUUGUACUAUUAUUUUAAUUUUUGUUCAUCUAUGUUCGAAACUUGUUAUAUUUUAUUCUAAUUUGUUUCUUGGAUGUGAGCUCAUUACUAUUGUGUGUAUGUUAAUUUGUUCUUUUUUGUUCACUUGUAUAAUAUUUCAUCUAUGUAUAUUGUUCCAUGUUUGUAACUUUGAUUUUUCUAUAUUACUGUAUUGUGAUUCAAAUUUCAAUGUUUUGAUUGAUAUUGGUCGUAUCAUUUUUAUUUCAAGUGAAUCAACUAAUGCGUUUUGAACCGGCUUUGUAAUUGUUUACGUGAAAAUUUCCCAAAACAAAGGUAAUGUUUGACGUUUGGAAAUUCGGGAAAUCGUGCCCUAAUGUGCCGGGUUUCAAUUUUUUCGUUUGUCCAAAAUAAUAAAAUAUCCCUUUAAAAUUUUAUCUGUGUUUUCUAAAUUUUAAAACAAGGCAAUGUUUUAUGUUGGGAAAUCCGAGAAAUCGUGCCCUAACGUGUUGGGUUUCGAUUUUUUCGUUGGACCAAAUAAUCGAAUAUCCUUUUGUAAUUUUCAAAUGUAUGAGCAUCAAGAAUUGAUAGUUUCGAGGGUAUAAAGGAUCGUGUCCUAACGUGCUGGAUGUGAUACUGUAUUCCUUCGAAACAAGAGAAUUUGAACGUCCAAUUUGAGUCAUUCAAAUGUUUUAAAAGAAAUUGUAUUUCAAAAUAUUUUUCUAAAAUUUUAUACAUAAAGACAUUAUUUAAUCAAUUUGGUACCAAUUUUGGGCGUAACGAGGGUGCUAACCCUUCCUCGUACGUAACCGACUCCCGAACCCGUCUUCUCAAAUUUCAUAGGCCAAAAUUGAUAUUUUAAUCAAAUGAUUUUAUUAGGUGAUCCGAUCACACCUAAACAAAAAGGAUUGGUGGUGACUCCAUAUUUCGUUUUAAAAAGUCGAUUCCUGUUUUUCAAAAAAAUGGUUUCGACAGCUUGGCGACUCCACUGGGGACCAAUAAGAAAAUCAAACCAUAAAAUUGAUUAUUUUCUGUCCUUUUGUCGAAAAUUGAAAAAUUGAUUUGAAAAAUCAUGAUUCUUUUGUCGUAUUUGUUUGUGAUCACCAUGAUUGUUGUUGUUUGAGUAUCAUAGAAUACUCUUGGAUUGCAUUGCAUGACCGUUGUGGUCACACAUUUUAAGUGGAAGUGAGAAACUACGCCCUCGUGAGGUUUUCACCUCCGCAUGGGCUAGUGGAUUACUUCCGGGAUACAUCCGUACCUAUGUCUUCGUGAGAUUUUCAUCUCUGCAUGGCCAUAGGGAAAUGUAUUCCCCUGAACUUAACUCGAUCCAUAUGAGCCUAUAAUGGGUGAAGAUUGAAAAAUCUGCUAGUUCAGGUACCCUUUCUCUAGAAUCGAGCCACAUAUAGUGAACCUUGAGAGUCCACCUUAGGUAGAACCUUGCCCAGUUUUAGUGGUCACCCGAAUAGGUACUUUAUUUGUUAUUUAUUUUUUCUGUACUAACGCGUUUUGUUUUUGUUUUGUUUCUAAUUUCAUUGCAUUACAUCACCAUAGAGAUGAGGUGUUGAUUCAUAUUUGAUUGCUAAAUAGAACAGUUUGUCAUAAGAAAACGAAUUUCUUGAUAAAGUGGAUUAUAAUACGGUUGUCUGAUUAUGAUCCAGGUAAACACAACGGAAGAAGGAUGAUAGUUCGCAGAGGAAAAACAAGACUUUACCUGAGGAUUUAAGUCGAUAAAGAUUAUUCGAGAGCCGUCACAUCUCGACUUUCUUAAAGGAGCUAACAAGCAUUGCGAGGAUAAGUGAGUAAUAAGUCGCGGCUUAGAUUAAACAAAAAUGAGCUAGUGGAGGCAUCUAUUGGAGGUUUGUGUGGUUCAACUUUUACAGAAAAGGGAUUGCCUGGAAUAUGAGGGCAAAGUCGCAUAUGUAAUCCUUUUUACGUAAAGGAAUUUGUUUUCUAGAAAAGUUGUUCUAAUAUAAUUGAAUUCAGAAUCAACGCCUUACUUUCUUUUGCAUUCAUUCUAUGCAUUUGCAUUGCAUUGCAUCAUGUGCAUUAAAAUUAACAAAAGAGCCUUAAUUAAUUAGAAAUCGUGUUAUAGUUACCCUGGAACAUCACUACUACACACGGAGAAGAACUAGAGUUAUAGAUCAAAAGCUGGAAAAACUGGAACAAAUGCAGAAAGAAAUGCAAGAUCGGCUGCAAGCACAGAUGCAAGAGCAAUUGGCUAAGAUUCAGCAGGAUAUGAAAGAUCAGAUGCUAGAAUCAUAGAAGAACAUGAUGAAUCAAUUAACCCAGUUACUGCUUAGAGGGCUAGGAAAAGGGAAGAGCCCUAUGGUCAACCCCGGGGAUGACAAUGAGGACCUUGUCUACUCACUGAGUUUUGCCCUAACAAACACCCCAGUGCAGCCCAACGCAUAUCCACUAAGGAUGUUUGUCAAUAUCAGUCCUCAGCAUCAAGCCAGCAUUUCAGCAUUAAUGCACUUUCCGACAGGCUCAGGCGCCAGAGACAAUCCGGCAAAUCUCGGUGUCCCUGAUUUGUAUGACAUGGCAGAGGUAGAAAAGGCAAAAUGAGAACUCCCAAAGUAGCUGGAAGAUCGAUACAAAUAGCUGGAAGAGAAGUUCAAGGCGUUGGAAAGCGCUGAUUAUCAGUGUGGUAUGGAUGCUAAAGAGUUAAGUUUGGUUCCGGAUCUAAUACUCCCUCCGAAGUUUAAAAUGUCAGAGUUUGAGAAAUACAACGGAACCAACUGCCUUGAGGCCCACAUCACGAUGUUUUGUCGGAGGAUGACUGGUCAUGUCAAUAAUGAUCAGUUUUUAGUUCACUGUUUCCAGGAUAGUUUGACUAGGGCAGCGACCAAAUGGUACAAUUAGCUGAAUCGCACCCAAAUUAAAUCAUGGAAGGACUUAGCACUGGUCUUUAUGAAGCAGUAUGGCCAUGUGACGGACAUAGCGCCUAACAAGAUCACGUUACAGAAUAUGGAGAAAAAGUCGAGUGAAUGUUUCAGGCAAUAUGCCCAGAGGUGGAGGGAAGUUGCUACACAAGUCCAACCAUCACUGCUGGAAAAAGAAACAACAAUGCUCUUCAUUAAUACUUUGAAAGCAUCCUUCAUUAAUCACAUGCUGGGCAGUGCAACUAAGAGUUUCACGGACAUAGUGAUGCCCAGUGAAAUGAUAGAGAAUGCGAUAAGGUACGGAAAGAUAGAGGCUGGGGAAAGCACCAAGAGGUCAGCCCCAAAGAAGAGAGAAAAUGAGGUUAGCAAUGUGAGUGUAGGUUAUGCAAAACCAAUCACGAUAAAACAACCGAAAAUGGUGGUUACGAGCCAGCAAGCUUCACUAAGGCAAGAGCCCAAUACAAAGUAAAGCAUGGAGAAGCUUCAGUUUACUCCUAUUCCAAUAACGUACCGAGAGCUAUACAAAAGUCUAUUUGAUGUGCACGUUGUAUCCCCUGUCUACUUAAAACCGUUGUAGCCCCCAUAUCCCAAAUGGUAUGAUGCUAGUACUCAAUGUAAAUACCAUGCGGGAAUAGCGGACCACUCGAUAGAGAAUUGCUUCUCUUUUAAAAAGUUGGUCGAAAGGUUCAUUGAAAUGGGAAUUGUGAAGUUCGACGAUUCCUCAGAACCUAAUCGCUCUAACAAUAGAGUAAAUACGAUAUUUGAAAGUAGGGGCAAAAGGGUUGCGAUGCCUUGAACAAGUCAGAAGGGGAAGUAACAUUGAGGAAUCUGAAUGACAUAUCUAAAGAGAGAAUCGGGGAAUAAAAAUUUCCAAAUCCUUGCAUACUUGGGAGUGUUUUGAACAAUGAGACUGUGGAAGAAAUCCCUGUAUUUUUAGAGCUAAUCUAGAGUAAUAUUCAAAACACGCUUGUUGCUUUAGGCCUAGAGGCAAUAAGAAUCCUUUUGUGACAUGGGCUUGUGUCCAGAAUUUUUAUUUCAAUAAAAUGUAUAUUUUUGAGUAAAUAUUUUUUCAUUCUUUCCAUUUCAUAGUAUACAUUCUUUUGUUCUUUGGACUAUCUUUUAAAUAUUCUUUUAUUCUUUAUUUAUGAUCGUAUUAUAUAAAUAAUCAUCCUUAGAAUCAUUUAUUCUUUAGAAAUAUGCCUUUGUAUCUACAAUAGGUCCUCAGAUAUCAACGAAAUGAGCAACGCUGUAACUGAAUCCCUUUUGGGGUAAGAUAUGUGUUUAAGCGGAUCUCAGGACUUUGAAGAUGGCAGAGAUUGUAACUUAUCUCUUAAUUGGUUAAGGAUGAUAGAAUAAGAUGAAAAACAGAUCCUACUUUACAAAGGGUCAGUAGACAUUGUGAGCAAGAAGUAAAGAUCGGAGCUUGAGUCACUACGAAAACAAAGCGAAUCGUCAUUGAGUUACUCUAAGAAUUCAAAGAUGUUUUCAUAUAAUCAUGACAGGAUAUGCCUGCGCUACUAAGACUUGUGGAUGCUAAAAAAGGUCCAUACUGGUGUUAGAAGGACACAUGCUAAUGAUUUCCAAGUUAAUCAUGAGGUUCGGUUACUGCUAAUCCACCAAGGAAAGGGAUUGUAUUAGUUAUGCCGUAAAUGACAAAUGAAGGAAUACAAGACUUAUGUGACACCUCCAUUUCUUCACAGAUUUUCUAUAUGUGGGGCAUGGAUGUUGUCAGGCCGUUCUCGUCUAAUAUACACUGACUCAUCUUGGUAGUCGUCGAUGUCUUCACGAAGAGGGUGAAGGUCGCUUUAUAUGCCAAUGUUACAAGGUCGAUAGUCAUAAAAAAAGGGUGUCGAUAGGUUAUAUCGAAAAAAAUCUUGUCUAAUACAACUGCACAAUGUCAAAAGAUUGCAAUCUGUUCAAAGAUCAAACACCAUAUCACAGUGCAGCAAAGGCAGCCAAAAAGAAAGAAACAAAAAAAAUAACAAAAAAAAGAUUGUGAAAGGUGAUUGAGACUUGUAAAGAUUGAUAUAAAAAAGUUACCGUUUACCCUCUAUACUUAUCAAACGUCGGCUAAGACCUCCAUCGGAGCAACGCCUUUCUCAUUAGUUUGUGGAAUGGAAAAGUUUUUUCCAUUAUCUAUUUUCUCUGAGUCCUACCAGAACUAAAGGUUGGAUGAGGUAGAAUGGAUACAAUCCCGAUAUGAUCAGUCGAAUUUGAAAGAUAUCCAUCACGGUCAGAUAAUGCAGGCUUGCGACAAAGGGGUUCAUCUUAGAAAAUUAGGGACCUGAUAUUGAAGAAGAUCCUUUCUAUACAAAAGGACUUUAGAGGAAAGUGGAUGUCGAACUAGGAAGGACCUUAUGUAGUACAAAAGGCCUGUUCUGAAGGAGCAUUGAUAUUGUCUGAGAUGGAUGGCAAGGACCUGCCCAAUUCAGUGAACUCAGAUUCAGUCACAGUUAAUAGUUUAAAAAAACACAGAAAAGAAGAGAAAAGAAAACAGGAGAGGCCAAGGCAAAAACCCGCAAAGGCGCCUUAAGACCAAAUGGGAUUUGAGUUGAAAACAUAAAAAGGGCGGCUUAAAUUUGGAUCAAAGUGGGGCAUACAAUAGUCUUGCUAUGUCUGAAUUAACAAUGAAGAAGUAUGCCACAUCUUGGGGCAUCGACAAAGUACUCCGAAUUCCUUAAACACAAAUUGAGCUCAAAAUGGUCCUCAAGAAGUUGGUACAAAGAAGCUCAAGCUGCGAUAUCUGGGGCAUCUAGUUUUCCAUUUUUACCCAUUUUAAAUUUUCUAUCUUUGAUUACCUUAUUCUUUUCAAGAUACGCCUCAACAAAUUUUCUUCUUAUUACGUUUGCUAUCUUUUGAUUAACAUACAUAUUUGUUGCGAGCUAUGCUCCCAAUUAUUUUCUCUUUUAUCCAUUGUUAUGAUAUUUUUCAAGCAUUUUGCAUUGAAAUAAUAAUUAAUGGACUAAUAAUACCUUCACAAAAAAGGUUCUGCAUAUUACUCUAGAAGCUUCUAAAUAAUACAAGAACCUGAAACAGAACUAUUGUUUAGAACUUACCAAACUUAAGGGUUGGAAAGAGGAGUCUAAAUUGUGACUAUCUCUUUAGAUUUUUUUUAUCAAAAGUAUCAAAUACAAGAUAUUGCAUCGAUGAUACAACCUCAAUGAAUGACGAGCAAUGUUCGGCCAAGCAUUAGAUGGGAUCAGCUCGAAAAAAAAUGGAUAUUUUGCAUACGCAUCUGGUUAUGUUAACUAGAGAUGGGUGUAGCAGAUCAUUUGAUUGAAGAAGAUGGUACGAAUCCUAUACCUCUAAGUUGCAGCAGGAUGGAUAGAAGAAACCAAAUGUUAUUCCCCUAAAGUUGCAGUGGGAAGUACAAACUUUAUAUCCCAGAAGGUACAGUGGAAGGGACUUUGAAACUACAGUGGGGCAAGCUUGCUGAGCAGAAUAGGAUUAUUUCUUUGGGUUUUUUUGUCAAGAAUACUAGCCAAACAAGAUGGCAGUGUAAUACGUCAGUGAUAAGGCCCCGAUGAACAACGAGCAAUGCUACAUUAAGCCUUUUAAAAAGGAUCAUUUACAUUUUUGCAUUCAUAUAUCAUUCAUGACACAUCUAGUUAGGAGCAUUGGAUUCAUUUCAAUCAUAGCAUCCUAAUUAUUUGACAUAGGCAUCACAUCUAGUUAACAGCAUUUGAUUCAUUUCGAUCAUAGUAUCCUAAUUAUUUAGCAUAAGCAUAGAUACAUGAAACCAAUUCUAUAGGUCAUGUCCCUAGAGGACAAUGUAGCAACAUCAAAAAAUUCAUGAGCCUUAAUCCCCUAAGCAGUAGGGCAACAGGCUAAAAAUUACAAAUCUUAUCUCCUUAAGCAGUAGUGGAGCAGAUCGAGGACGGUGAGCCUUAACCCCCUAAGCAGUAGGGAAACAGGCUGAAAAUUACAGAUCUUAUCUCCCUAAGCAGUAGUGGAGCGGAUCGAAGACGGUGAGCCUUAUCCUCCUAAGCAAUAGGGAAACAGGCUGGAAAUUACAGAUCUUAUCUCCUUAAGCAGUAGUGGAGCGGAUCGAAGACUAGCCUUAUCCCCUUAAGUAGUAAGGAAAUGGGCUGAAGAUUACAAAUCAUAUCUUUCUAAGCAAUAGCGGAGCAGAUUGAAACGAAAAGUUCUUAUACUCCUAAAGACGCAAUGGGUUAAAGCGAGGCUACCUGAAGAAAGAGAGCAUCAAGAAGUCAAGACUCAGCAAGACCGGGUAAAAUUGGCUUUUUUAAAGUCUUUGCUCCAUUCCCGUUACACGACAAUGAGCAAAGAGGGGCAGCUGUAGGUCCCAAUUUUCUCCUAGGCCUAACAAACCAAAUAAACCAAAAAAACAAAUACCCAAUUUUAGCCUAUUAGAACCCAAACAUAGCCAUUAACCUAUUACAAUAAAACAAAGCCCAAAUUUUUAAAAAAAAAAACCUAGCCCAUAAAAUUUUUUCAGUAAAGAGGGAAACCCUAGAUUUGCUGCCUCCCUUCAGCCACUAUGUGCCCACAUUCAACAGCCACUACCCAUGUUCUCCACCACCACGCACCACGCACCUAC